rnacentral:piRNA from 1 species
AGGGGCUGGAGAGAUGGCUCAGAGUUAA